rnacentral:rRNA from 1 species
GACGAACGCUGGCGGCGUGCUUAACACAUGCAAGUCGAACGGAAAGGCCCUGCUUUUGUGGGGUGCUCGAGUGGCGAACGGGUGAGUAACACGUGAGUAACCUGCCCUUGACUUUGGGAUAACUUCAGGAAACUGGGGCUAAUACCGGAUAGGAGCUCCUGCUGCAUGUUGGGGGUUGGAAAGUUUCGGCGGUUGGGGAUGGACUCGCGGCUUAUCAGCUUGUUGGUGGGGUAGUGGCUUACCAAGGCUUUGACGGGUAGCCGGCCUGAGAGGGUGACCGGCCAAAUUGGGACUGAGAUACGGCCCAGACUCCUACGGGAGGCAGCAGUGGGGAAUAUUGCACAAUGGGCGGAAGCCUGAUGCAGCAACGCCGCGUGCGGGAUGACGGCCUUCGGGUUGUAAACCGCUUUCGCCUGUGACGAAGCGUGAGUGACGGUAAUGGGUAAAGAAGCACCGGCUAACUACGUG